ensembl:lncRNA
ACAUGGCUUCCUGCAGGUGGAGUGGCGAUGAAGGUCACACCGCAGCUCAGAGGAGCAGGGGGAGAGGCAGCACUUCAGAGGAGUCGCCAGCUUUCUCACAGCAAAUUAAGUAAUCCGUGAAAAUGUACGUCUCUUUAGCAUUGCGUAAAUGUUUGACGUAAUUGAUCGCUCUGUUAGGCUGGUUAGUUUUAUUUUUUGGGCCAUUUUUGCAAUGUUAGAACUUGUGCGUUAAACAGGCCACCAAUCGUGUCACUAUACGGUAAUCUCUAGCACACCUUAUCAUUGUCAGCGGCAGAGGCACCCGGAUGUUGAGGGUGUAAUGCGGUGGGAUUUAGGCAGGUGAAAAAGUCUGCCAGUGUUCCUGCUGAUAGCUGGAUAGAGACCUCAACAACACAUCCAAAGCUUUGGGAGCAUUUUACCAAGAACCAUUAACAGAGAUCAAAUCUGCCUGUCCAGUGUUUGAGGAAAGGCCAUCAGAGUACACUCCACCUGACAAGGAUGCACAUUUGCCAUUUUGCAAGGCUCCUUCCUGGCAUGCCGAUUAGCGGGGCGAGAGCCGCGUGAUGAGGAGAGAGGAGCUGGGCCUGGGAGCCAGCUUUCUCCAAAGCUGUGAAUGGAGGAUUAAGCUCAGGGAGCCGGGCAUGGACAGGUGCCCAGCCGAGAUGCAGAGCUUCCCAGGUACGUGCCCCAACUACAUCUGGCCCCGUUUCCCCCUCUUACUGUUUUUUUGGCUUUAUCAAAAUACCGCUGGGUUGAGAUUGUCAGAGGAGCUUCUGAGUUGGCAGCGGCCACCAUGAUUAGUCAUAUUGAAUUAUGCGUUGAGAAGAUGUCCCUGCAUCCGACGCGCGCACACAUGCAAGUUUAUUUCCUCCCCGAAUGCCCCUCGAACCACUCGUCCUGCAUUUAUGUUUGGUGACAAGAAGACGUGGAUGUGGGUAAACAGGAUUAUAGCCACGGUUCUGCUGUCACACACAUCUCAUAAUUCGCAUGCGUUCCUGACAGGCUUGGUGGCAUUUAAUGUUACCUAACAUUUGCCUUGGCGUGCGCCACAGACACAGGUGCAAAUGAGGGAAUCAGCCGGCGGUGAACAGUGAACGGCUACGAACUCAUUUUUAUUUUUCACAGGAAUCUGACUAUCGAAUAUGAUGCAUUCUUCACAACGCUCAAAUCACUUUGCUGUAUUGUUUCAGGCAGUCUGAAUAUUACAAUCGUCUUCAUUAAUUUUAUCUCGGACAUAAACUUUUAAUACGCCCACAAUCACAUGACUUCCAUGGCAGUUUAAAUGACUCUCCCCUGUAAUUACUGAUCCAGCACUCAAUUAAAAUAAUUUGAUUGAAAUUAUUCAGUGGUUUUAAAUACAAGCCUCAAGCUACAUAACAAUAUUCAGAGCUGUGACCGAGAACCAUGUUUCUGUUUAAGAGGAAAAAACAUGUUCUUAUCCAUAUGAUAACAG